CCUACGGGAGGCAGCAGUAGGGAAUAUUGCUCAAUGGGGGAAACCCUGAAGCAGCAACGCCGCGUGGAGGAUGAAUGUUUUCGGAUUGUAAACUCCUUUUUUUAGAGAAGAUAAUGACGGUAUCUAACGAAUAAGCACCGGCUAACUCCGUUCCAGCAGCCGCGGUACUACGGAGGGUGCAAGCGUUACUCGGAGUCACUGGGCGUAAAGAGCGCGUAGGCGGGAUAGCAAGUCAGAUGUGAAAUCCUAUGGCUUAACCAUAGAACUGCAUUUGAAACUGUUAGUCUAGAGUAUAGGAGAGGUAGGUGGAAUUCUUGGUGUAGGGGUAAAAUGCGUAGAGAUCACGAAGAAUACUGAUUGCGAAGGCGACCUGCUAGAACGUAACUGACACUGAUGCGCGAAAGCGUGGGGAGCAAACAGGAUUAGAUACCCUAGUAGUC
rnacentral:rRNA from 1 species